AGCGAACGCUGGCGGCAGGCCUAACACAUGCAAGUCGAACGAACUCUUCGGAGUUAGUGGUGGACGGGUGAGUAACACGUGGGAACGUGCCUUUAGGUUCGGAAUAACUCAGGGAAACUUGUGCUAAUACCGAAUGUGCCCUUCGGGGGAAAGAUUUAUCGCCUUUAGAGCGGCCCGCGUCUGAUUAGCUUGUUGGUGGGGUAAUGGCCCACCAAGGCGACGAUCAGUAGCUGGUCUGAGAGGAUGACCAGCCACAUUGAGACUGAGACACGGCCCAAACUCCUACGGGAGGCAGCAGUGGGGAAUCUUGCGCAAUGGGUGAAAGCCUGACGCAGCCAUGCCGCGUGGAUGAUGAAGGUCUUAGGAUUGUAAAAUCCUUUCACCGGUGAAGAUAAUGACUGUAGCCGGAGAAGAAGCCCCGGCUAACUUCGUGCCAGCCGCCGCCGUAA
rnacentral:rRNA from 1 species